ACUGAGUCACAGGUUUGUCUUUUAAUCAGCAUCCAUGAAAAUUCAUUAAAAGGUCUAAUACGAAAAGCACCAGGCUAACAAAUCAGUCCUGAAUUCAAUUUUACAAAAACACCCUCUCCUCUUCCAUCUCAUCCCUAAUAUUCCCACGUUAUCUCGAGGUACAGAGAAAUAUAAAAGGGAUCCUUGACAUAAAAACGUAUUAAAAAGCCACCAUGAGUAGAAUGUACGGUAACAGCAUCUGACUCGGCCGGCAGGACAGGAAACCUACAGAGCCACCAUGCCAGAGCUUUGUGUGAGCAGGCGGGCACUCCACAUGGGCACGUGUGUGAGCAGGCGGGCACUCCACAUGGGCACGUGUGAGCAGGUGGGCACUCCACAUGGGCACGUGUGAGCAGGCGGGCACUCCACAUUGGCACGUGUGAGCAGGCGGGCACUCCACAUCGGCAUGUGUGUGAGCAGGCGGGCAUGCCACAAUGGCACGUGUGAUCCGGCGGGCACUCUACAUGGGCAUGUGAGCAGGCAGGCACUCCACGUCGGCAUGUGUGAGCAGGCGGGCACUCCACGUCGGCAUGUGUGUGAGCAGGCGGGCACUCCACAUGGGCACGUGUGAGCAGGCGGGCACUCCACAUGGGCACGUGUGAGCAGGCGGGCGCUCCACAUGGGCACGUGUGUGAGCAGGCGGGCGCUCCACAUGGACGUGUGUGAGCAGGCGGGCGCUCCACAUCGGCACAUGUGAGCAUGUGGGCACUCCACAUCGGCACAUGUGAGCAGGCGGGCGCUCCACAUGGGCACGUGUGUGAGCAGGCGGGCGCUCCACAUCGGCACGUGUGAGCAGGCGGGCACUCCACAUCGGCACAAAGCGAGGGCUCAUGCAUAAGAGUUGCAGGGACACCUGGACAGCUAUUUGAAAUUUAAAAACUGGGUUUCCUGGCUCACAUUUUGUAUCAAAAACUAGAAGUAGAUCAAUGAUUUCAAUAUGAAAAUGAAACCCAUAAAAGUACUAGAAGAAAACACGGAAAACAUUUCAAAUAUAAUCUUUAAGGGGGAAGAGCAUUCUAACUAGAACACAAAACUUAGAAGACAAGAAAGAUUGAUAAUUCAACUACAUAACUCAUGAAAGGAAGAUCUGAGGAACGAGAUGUCCACAGUGGCCGCUGAGAAGCUCUGCCACACUCCUGGAGGCAUGGAAGGCUGUGCCCACACAGGCACAGAGCUGUGUGCGUGCCCGAGAGGAACCUGAGCUGCCCUGGCCCUCACCUCUGGCUGGCUUUGUGGCUACGUGCAAGAAGUGAAGGCAAAGGCACAGUUGGCAGCUGCCUGCUGGAGCACUGACCACACAUCAACUGCGUGUCGGCAGAACCGCGAUGGAGCGCUGAAGGCACACACACCACGCAUCAACUGCAUGUCAGCAGAACCGCGAUGGAGCGCUGAAGGCACACACACCACGCAUCAACUGCGUGUCGGCAGAACCGUGAUGGAGCGCUGAAGGCACACUCACCACGCAUCAACUGCAUGUCGGCAGAACCGUGAGAGUUACUGGUGCAAAGCACUUAAAGGGGUCCUCUGUCCAGUCACUGGCUGAACAUGAAGCUGAUGAGAUGGACACUUCAAAUUAGUCCAGAACACACACUAAACAAAAGGUAACAGCAACAGAACAACAAUAAACUCGUGGAGAGGGUAUCUGAUUUCCAGAGUUGCACAGCACAUUAUUAAAGUGUCCAGUCUUCAAAAAAUACAUAUAUAUGAGACCACAAAGAAAGAGUAUGUUAUUUCCUUGGCUCUGACAUGGGAAAAAAGGUCAUCAAUAGGAACUUCCCCUGAAUAAGCCCUGAUGCUGAACUUAGUAGACAAGUCACCUAUCUAUCUUAUCUUAUCCUAUCUAUCUAUCUAUCUAUCUAUCUAUCUAUCUAUCUAUCUAUCUAUCUAGUUUUGAAAGCGUCUCGCUCUGUGGCCCAGGCUGGAGUACAAUGGCUCGAUCCUGGCUCACUGCAACCUCCGCCUCCCGGGUUCAAGCAAUUCUCCUGCCUCUGCCUCCCAAGUAGCUGGGAUUACAGGUGCAUGCCACCACGCCCGGCUUAGACAAGUACUUUAAAUCAGCUUCUACACAUAUGUUCAAAUAACUAAAGGAAACUGUGUCUACAGAAUUAAAGUAUGAGAAUGUUUCACUAAACAAAGAAUAUGAGUAAAGAUACAGAAAUUAUAGGAGAGAGCCAAAUGGAAGUUUGGAGUAGAAAAGUACAAUAACUGAAAUGAAAAAUUCACUAGAGCAGCUUGACAUCAGGUUUUGUUUGGCAAAAGCAUCUGUGACCUUGAAGAUAGGUCAACUGAGAUGACCCAUUCUGAGAAGAAGAAAAAAUUCCAGAAUAAAGGAAAGUCAAGGAGGCCUCCAAGGCUGUGCCCAGCUCCACAUCAACACACGUAGCUGGAGUCCAAGCGGGGGAAGAGAACAUGGACGUAAAAUAUUUCGAGAAACGACAACCUAAAAUUUCCCAAAUUUGCAGAACCGCAAUGGAGCACUGAAGGCACACUCACCGCACAUCAACUGCAUGUCGGC
rnacentral:lncRNA from 1 species